AUGCGCUACUCGAACACUGUGGUUCUUCCGCUCCGUCCAUACCUAGCUGGCGACUGCUCGUGACGCUUUAUAGGCC
rnacentral:sRNA from 1 species